AACCUGCGCGGUUUUAUUAUCCAUUGUUUUGUUGUCCGCCCAACACACCUGAAACGGAACCUGCGCGGAUGCCGGGGGAUUACUGUUCACGGGUAACCUCAAACAAAUUCCGAUACCGCUCGAUAAUUAAUCGAAACAAAUACGCAGUGAGGGACGUAGUGUUUUCACUUUUUCCACGUGGAUUUUCGCUUUUCCGUUAUUACGGGGGG